rnacentral:lncRNA from 1 species
UUGGAGAUAGACAAAAAAAAAAGCAUGAAUUGAAUUAGAGUAAACGAGAGAUGGAAAAAAUUUAAAGGAAGCACAUGAAUACUUAACCUUAAUUUUUAAAAAAUUCAAACAUGAAGAAAGAGAAUAAGGAUUUUUUUUUUGAAUUUCUUGUCGUCUAUUAGGUAUUAUUUUUAGUUUCCAACAAAAUUCACCUUCUUCAUUAAUAAUAGAGGUUUGCCACCAUUUCAACUUUUUCUU